rnacentral:rRNA from 1 species
GAUGAACGCUGGCGGCGUGCCUAAUACAUGCAAGUCGAGCGAACGGACGAGAAGCUUGCUUCUCUGAUGUUAGCGGCGGACGGGUGAGUAACACGUGGAUAACCUACCUAUAAGACUGGGAUAACUUCGGGAAACCGGAGCUAAUACCGGAUAAUAUUUUGAACCGCAUGGUUCAAAAGUGAAAGACGGUCUUGCUGUCACUUAUAGAUGGAUCCGCGCUGCAUUAGCUAGUUGGUAAGGUAACGGCUUACCAAGGCAACGAUGCAUAGCCGACCUGAGAGGGUGAUCGGCCGCACUGGAACUGGGACACGGUCCAGACUCCUACGGGAGGCAGCAGUAGGGAAUCUUCCGCAGUGGGCGAAAGCCUGACGGAGCAACGCCGCGUGAGUGAUGAAGGUCUUCGGAUCGUAAAACUCUGUUAUUAGGGAAGAACAUAUGUGUAAGUAACUGUGCACAUCUUGACGGUACCUAAUCAGAAAGCCACGGCUAACUACGUG